rnacentral:lncRNA from 10 species
AAAGAGGUUGGUUGGCAGCCUGGAAGAAAACCCUUCCUGAAGUUACAGAUGUGGAAUUAACCUUUACAUCCAUCCUGCAAAGUGGGAAGACACAGGUCCUUCUUCACACACCUGUGAAAUGGCAGUGCUUACAUUCUUGCCUCCACUUUGCCCCAGAACAGAGCUUAGCACAUUCUUUACUCCGUAUGGCUGAUCCCUUGGGGGACAGCGCAGAGUGGUGACUUCUUCCACCAGCCUCUUUGCAAGAUAUAUCCAUGACUGAUGGCAGUAAUAAAUGCCCUGGAUUAUUUCCUAGACCAUCUUCUCCUUAUCUGGAAAGAGUACACAACAGCAGGAGCCCCAUGAAGUGGAUGCAGCAAGGACUCCUAGAAAUAAGGGUACAAGAGUGAAAUUCUACUUCCACUCCCCGUCUUCCCAGGCUGUAUAUCCACAGGCCAGCUGCUUUUCUCUAAGGACCUCAGUCUCUUCAUCUGCAAGGUGGAGAUGGCACAGUAUUUGUUCUUCAUGUACACCAAUGGGUUACUUUUCAUUUGCACUUACUUUCUACUGACUGAGAAAAUCCUAAAUAAUCAAUGAACUUCUUAC